rnacentral:rRNA from 1 species
GCAUAAUCAUUUGCCCCCUAAUUAGGGGCUAGCAUGAACGGAUAAACGAGAUUAUAGCUGUCUCCUUUACACUCAUAAAAAUUAAUCCACAGGUGAAGAAGCCUGUUUUUAUAUAAAAGACAAAAAGACCCUGUCGAGCUUUAAUUAUUUAUAAAACACAUUAAAUAUAUAUAAAUAAAAAAUAAUCCCCCUUAUAAAUAAUUUUUGUUGGGGCGACAAUGGAGCACACAAACCCUCCACUAUACUCAAAACCCCAAGUUUCCCAAAAGAUCCUUUACAGAUACCAGGCACUAGCUACCGCAGGGAUAACAGACUAAUCUUCCUUAAGAGCCCAAAUCUACAGGAAGGCUUGG